rnacentral:piRNA from 1 species
UGCCUUUUGGAUGAAAUGAUGCC